GAGGGUGUAGCUCAGUGGUAGAGUGCACACCUAGCAUGCACAAGGUCCUGGGUUCAAUCCCCAGUUCCUCCA
rfam:Camelus ferus unplaced genomic scaffold scaffold71, whole genome shotgun sequence.